UCAAAGUUCGAAAAACCUUUACUAAGAGCUUUGAGUCCAUUGAUGACAUCUGUGAAACGGGUGUAUAUGUCUCCGAUGGACUCACUUGGUUUCAUCCGGAAAAGUUCGUAAGAAUGCACAAGAAUAUUGAUUUUGGACUCUUUCACUCGGCUAGUACCUUCAUGAGUAACCUCAAGAGUUCUCCAAAUAUCAAAAGCUGA
rnacentral:lncRNA from 1 species